GGUUGCUCUGUAAGAGAAGUCUGGUCUCAGGCCCUGUGAGGAUGCGUUCGCAGUGUGGACUUCAUCACACGUCUCGGGGGGAGAAGAGGCGGGCCAGAGAGUUUUUAACAGAUUUCUGGAAGCGUUGAAGGACCAGUUAAAACUAUGGAGAGGAAGCCAAAGCCCAAAAUGUGCAAUGUGGAGGUUGCCAUUGAGGAUGAUGCAGCAAGAAGGCCCUGACAAGAUACCAGCCCCUUGAUCCUGGACUUUCCAGUUUCUAGAACUGUAAGAAAUAAAUCUCUG